rnacentral:rRNA from 1 species
GACGAACGCUGGCGGCGUGCUUAACACAUGCAAGUCGAACGGAAAGGCCCUGCUUUUGUGGGGUGCUCGAGUGGCGAACGGGUGAGUAACACGUGAGUAACCUGCCCUUGACUUUGGGAUAACUUCAGGAAACUGGGGCUAAUACCGGAUAGGAGCUCCUGCUGCAUGGUGGGGGUUGGAAAGUUUCGGCGGUUGGGGAUGGACUCGCGGCUUAUGAGCUUGUUGGUGGGGUAGUGGCUUACCAAGGCUUUGACGGGUAGCCGGCCUGAGAGGGUGACCGGCCACCUGGGGACUGAGAUACGGACCAGUCUCCUACGUGCGGCAGCAGUGGGGAAUAUUGCACAACGGCCGGAAGCCUGAUGCAGCAACCCCGCGUGCGGGAUGACGGCCUUCGGGGUGUAAACCGCUUUCGCCUGUGACGAAGCGUGAGUGACGGUAAUGGGUAAAGAAGCACCGGCUAACUACGUG